rnacentral:rRNA from 1 species
UACGUAGGGAGCAAGCGUUGUCCGGAAUCAUUGGGCGUAAAGCGCGCGUAGGUGGCCUCAUAAGUCCGCUGUGAAAGUCAAAGGCUCAACCUUUGAAAGCCGGUGGAUACUGUGAGGCUAGAGUACGGAAGAGGCGAGUGGAAUUCCUGGUGUAGCGGUGGAAUGCGCAGAUAUCAGGAGGAACACCAGUGGCGAAGGCGACUUUCUGGCCUGUUCUUGACGCUGAGGCGCGAAAGCUAGGGGAGCAAACGGG